CCCUUAGAUGUUCUGGGCCGCACGCGUGCUACACUGACCGGUGCAACAAGUUUCUUUCCUUGGCUCGAUAGGCCUGGGUAAUCUUUGAACGUGAAUCGUGAUGGGGAUAGAUGAUUGCAAUUAUUCAUCUUCAACGAGGAAUUCCUAGUAAACGCAAGUCAUCAGCUUGCAUUGAUUACGUCCCUGCCCUUUGUACACACCGCCCGUCGCACCUACCGAUUGAAUGGUCCGGUGAAAUCUUCGGAUCUGAGAGAUGUCUGAUUAAUUUCGGACGCCUUUUGGAAAAGUUGUUUAAACCUUACCAUUUAGAGGAAGGUGAAGUCGUAACA
rnacentral:rRNA from 1 species